rnacentral:rRNA from 1 species
GACGAACGCUGGCGGCGUGCUUAACACAUGCAAGUCGAACGGAAAGGCCCUGCUUUUGUGGGGUGCUCGAGUGGCGAACGGGUGAGUAACACGUGAGUAACCUGCCCUUGACUUUGGGAUAACUUCAGGAAACUGGGGCUAAUACCGGAUAGGAGCUCCUGCUGCAUGGUGGGGGUUGGAAAGUUUCGGCGGUUGGGGAUGGACUCGCGGCUUAUCAGCUUGUUGGUGGGGUAGUGGCUUACCAAGGCUUUGACGGGUAGCCGGCCUGAGAGGGUGACCGGCCAAAUGGGGAUUGAGAAAGGGCCCGACCCCCAGCGGGGGGAAGGGGGGGGGAAAAUUGAAAAAGGGGGGGAAGCCUGAGGGAGCAACCCCGGGUGCGGGAGGACGGCCUUGGGGUGGUAACCCGUUUUCGCCUGGGACGAAGGGUGAGGACGGGUAAUGGGUAAAGAAGCACCGGCUAACUACGG